GACGAACGCUGGCGGCGCGCCUAACACAUGCAAGUCGAACGGAGCUGAGAGAAGCUUGCUUUUCUUAGCUUAGUGGCGAAAGGGUGAGUAACGCGUGAGUAACCUGCCCUGGAGUGGGGGACAACAGUUGGAAACGACUGCUAAUACCGCAUAAGCCCACGAUCCGGCAUCGGAUUGAGGGAAAAGGAUUUAUUCGCUUCAGGAUGGACUCGCGUCCAAUUAGCUAGUUGGUGAGGUAACGGCCCACCAAGGCGACGAUGGGUAGCCGGACUGAGAGGUUGAACGGCCACAUUGGGACUGAGACACGGCCCAGACUCCUACGGGAGGCAGCAGUGGGGGAUAUUGCACAAUGGGGGAAACCCUGAUGCAGCGACGCCGCGUGGAGGAAGAAGGUUUUAGGAUUGUAAACUCCUGUCGUUAGGGACGAUAAUGACGGUACCUAAAAAGAAAGCACCGGCUAACUACGUG
rnacentral:rRNA from 1 species